rnacentral:rRNA from 1 species
UACGGGAGGGGGCUAGCGUUGUUCGGAUUCAUUUGGGCGUAAAGGGUGCGUAGGCGGCGCGGUAAGUCGGGUGUGAAACUCUCGGAGCUUAACUCCGAAACUGCAUUCGAUACUGCCGUGCUUGAGGACUGGAGAGGAGACUGGAAUUUACGGUGUAGCGGUGAAAUGCGUAGAUAUCGUAAGGAAGACCAGUGGCGAAGGCGGGUCUCUGGACAGUUCCUGACGCUGAGGCACGAAGGCCAGGGAGCAAACGGG